rnacentral:rRNA from 1 species
AUUGAACGCUGGCGGCAUGCUUUACACAUGCAAGUCGAACGGUAACAGGGUGCUUGCACCGCUGACGAGUGGCGAACGGGUGAGUAAUGCGUCGGAACGUGCCGAGUAGUGGGGGAUAACGCAUCGAAAGGUGUGCUAAUACCGCAUACGUACUGAGGUAGAAAGUGGGGGACCUUCGGGCCUCACGCUAUUCGAGCGGCCGACGUCUGAUUAGCUAGUUGGUGAGGUAAAGGCUCACCAAGGCGACGAUCAGUAGCGGGUCUGAGAGGAUGAUCCGCCACACUGGGACUGAGACACGGCCCAGACUCCUACGGGAGGCAGCAGUGGGGAAUUUUGGACAAUGGGCGCAAGCCUGAUCCAGCCAUGCCGCGUGUCUGAAGAAGGCCUUCGGGUUGUAAAGGACUUUUGUCCGGGAGCAAAUGCCUGGUGUUAAUAGCACUGGGAGCUGAGAGUACCGGAAGAAUAAGCACCGGCUAACCACGUGCCAGCAGCCGCAGUAAUAC